ACUUGGGAUGUGGCCAAAGUUCAACGUGUCGCCGCAGUUUGAACUCGAAAUUGAAAAUUGAAACAACAGUUUUUUCGCAGUUGCGAAUAUUUUGCUAAUGUUUCCAGUUUUUGAUCGAUGGCAGUCACCUGAAGCCAAGAGCCACUGAAAUUGAUUUCGGGGAAAGGACUCAGGAAUAACAAAUUUUGGUCAUCUUCAUACCAUGCACUCUCCAUCCAAUUGCAGUGCAAGCAACUUACCAUUUGGUCUCCCACCUCAUGUCUCAACCUUCUUCCCAAAAUCUGAAUCAGUUAAUGGCUCUACUGGACAUCCAUCCCAAGAAAAUGCAGAAACGAGGGCAAUUGAUAAUAAAAGGCAAGAAUGCCAUUCGCAGGAGCACCACCAUUCAGGCAGAUACUUUGACACAUCCAAUCAAGUGGCUGCAUAUGAAAACACUUCGCAGUCCUGUCAAUACGUACCCGAGGACGGCGUGUCUACCAAUGGAAAUAACGGAACAAAACAACGCGAAGUUGAAGUAUACCUUUGCGACCCUCGUUUGAGCCGGAAAAAUGGUGGGCAGGGUUUCCAUAGUCCUCACCCCAUUUCUCAUCCUGAUUGGAUUAAACGUGGCCAAGGAUCUCAAAUGACUUCAGAUUCAUGGAGCAAACAGCAAGAGACUGAUACUGUCUCGUCUGUACUGAACAAUUUGUCGACCGGUCGAAUACCAAGAGAUCAUUCCACGCCAAUGAUACCAUGCUUAUUAUCCCUACCUUUUCCGGUCUAUUGCUUUAAUUGCCAUGAAGUUGGCCAUGAGGCAAGACAAUGUUCCAUUGGUAAUUCCGUCAAGCAACCCAAAAAAAGGAAGUCAGAUGAAAGUCAGGGGUGCUGUAAACACACUAAAAAGGGAAACCAUGAUAUUGAUUGUCCUAGUUUAGCGAGUGUAACUCAGGAAAUUGGAAGCUCUGCUGAGAAACCUUCCGUUUCUCGAUGGGCUACAGGUGCCAAUGCAGUUCCCCAAUUAGUAGGAGGAAAGACGCCAGUUGUCAGAAUAUCCGUCGAUAAUAAUCCAGUUGCUGCUGGUUCUUCGACAAUGGAAGAAACUCUUCAAGAGAGUUUUGUCAUUCAAAAAAAUAUUGCAAAUGCCACGUUCUCCGUGGAAUCGAAAUCCGUAAUAAAUGAAGCCGACAUUGACGAACUUCUAGCAAGCGCUAGACUUGCUGGAAGUAGAAAGGCGGAUACCUUAUCCAGUGAAAAGAGCGAUUCGUCAGUUUCCAAGACUAUACUCAUCCCCAAUUAUGCGGAGAGAAAUGUAGGGAAUACCAACCCUUGCUUACCUAGUAUAACCAGCGCAGAAGGAUCUUCCGGGACCAAAGAUGACCAAAAAGGAAACGAGAAGGAAAAAACAGGCAAAAACAAUAACGCGGACAUUCAAAUUUGCAAUCUAUGCAAGAAAAAGAAGGGAGGCCAUGUACAGGGUUGUCUUAAUUCAAAAAAUGGUCGUAUCUUACACAAUCUAGAGAAAAGGCUCAGCGAAAAAUUGCCCAAAAAGAUACGAAAGAGAGGAAAAGAAGUGGGCAAUAUUUUCCGAGAUCUUAAAUAAGAUGAAAAGCGAUGGGAUAUUUCCGCCGAUGCCAGUAGAACGCCCUCCGCAACAAAGGCGAAAGAAAAGUCUGGAAGAACAACAGGUCUUGGAACGUGUAGAAUUAAUUAAAAGGGUACCCAGAGAGGAACUGGAAGAAAU